UGACUGUCCCAUCUCUUUUCCAGCUUGGUGGCGAUACCGAGGAGCUCUGCUGGGAGAGGCCACAUGGAGCGGCUGCUCUCCAAGCUGGAUGCUCACCUUCCCAUCCCAUCACAGCUGCUUCUUUCGGAGGGAGCCACCACAGAUCAGGCACAUGAUGAAAUCUCCGGAGGGGCUGGAGCUACCCGCUGCCUGGUGAUGGGGAGCUGAGAUGGAGCAGCUGCCAGGGACCCACAACUACCACCCCAAGACCCUCAGCACCCACCUGGCUCUGCUGGAAAACUGUUUGGAAACCUCAGGAUGGGAACAAACCACAGUGGCAGGGGGCACUGUGUGUUAGUCGAGGUUUAUAUUGUUCCUCCGGUCCUUUGCUCAGCAUUAAGAAAGGAUAAUGAGCCAAUUAAGAAGCUCUCUCAGACUGCCAGUGUUAAGAGCUGCCCAGCACCACGGAGACCCCCCUCCACCUCUCAGCAACCGAUUGAGUUAUUGUCAGUCCUGGCAACAACCUUUUGGAGGGCUGACGCCUCGGUGCAUCCCGGCCUCUCCCAGGGGAUUGUGGCUCCAAGCCGGUGCUCGGGGUCCCUGGAGCAGGGUCUGGGGUGCAGAUGGAGCCCAGCACGCCUGCCUGCAGCAGCAGGCUGAGGUUG